UACGUAGGAUGCAAGCGUUGUCCGGAAUUAUUGGGCGUAAAGAGCUCGUAGGCGUCUGUCGCGUCUGGUGUGAAAAUCCAGGGCUUAACCCUGGACCUGCAUCGGGUACGGGCAGACUAGAGUGCGGUAGGGGUGACUGGAAUUCCUGGUGUAGCGGUGGAAUGCGCAGAUAUCAGGAGGAACACCGAUGGCGAAGGCAGGUCACUGGGCCGCAACUGACGCUGGAGGAGCGAAAGCAUGGGGAGCGAACAGG
rnacentral:rRNA from 1 species